rnacentral:rRNA from 1 species
AGCGAACGCUGGCGGCAGGCCUAACACAUGCAAGUCGAACGAAGUCUUCGGACUUAGUGGCGGACGGGUGAGUAACGCGUGGGAAUCUGCCCUUAGGUUCGGAAUAACUCAGAGAAAUUUGAGCUAAUACCGGAUGAUGACGUAAGUCCAAAGAUUUAUCGCCUAAGGAUGAGCCCGCGUAGGAUUAGCUAGUUGGUGUGGUAAAAGCGCACCAAGGCGACGAUCCUUAGCUGGUCUGAGAGGAUGAUCAGCCACACUGGGACUGAGACACGGCCCAGACUCCUACGGGAGGCAGCAGUGGGGAAUAUUGGACAAUGGGCGAAAGCCUGAUCCAGCAAUGCCGCGUGAGUGAUGAAGGCCUUAGGGUUGUAAAGCUCUUUUACCCGGGAUGAUAAUGACAGUACCGGGAGAAUAAGCUCCGGCUAACUCCGUGCCAGCAGCCGCCGUAAAAC